UAGGGAAUCUUCCACAAUGGACGCAAGUCUGAUGGAGCAACGCCGCGUGAGUGAAGAAGGUUUUCGGACCGUAAAGCUCUGUUGUUGGUGAAGAAGGAUAGAGGUAGUAACUGGCCUUUAUUUGACGGUAAUCAACCAGAAAGUCACGGCUAACUACGUGCCAGCAGCCGCGGUAAUACGUAGGUGGCAAGCGUUGUCCGGAUUUAUUGGGCGUAAAGCGAGCGCAGGCGGAAGAAUAAGUCUGAUGUGAAAGCCCUCGGCUUAACCGAGGAAUUGCAUCGGAAACUGUUUUUCUUGAGUGCAGAAGAGGAGAGUAGAACUCCAUGUGUAGCGGUGGAAUGCGUAGAUAUAUGGAAGAAUACCAGUGGCGAAGGCGGCUCUCUGGUCUGCAAA
rnacentral:rRNA from 1 species